rnacentral:rRNA from 1 species
UGGGGAAUAUUGGACAAUGGGCGCAAGCCUGAUCCAGCAAUGCCGCGUGUGUGAAGAAGGUCUUCGGAUUGUAAAGCACUUUCGGCGGGGACGAUGAUGACGGUACCCGCAGAAGAAGCCCCGGCUAACUUCGUGCCAGCAGCCGCGGUAAUACGAAGGGGGCUAGCGUUGCUCGGAAUGACUGGGCGUAAAGGGCGCGUAGGCGGAUUGUACAGUCAGAUGUGAAAUUCCUGGGCUCAACCUGGGGGCUGCAUUUGAUACGUGCGAUCUUGAGUCCGGAAGAGGGUGGUGGAAUUCCCAGUGUAGAGGUGAAAUUCGUAGAUAUUGGGAAGAACACCGGUGGCGAAGGCGGCCACCUGGUCCGGAACUGACGCUGAGGCGCGAAAGCGUGGGGAGCAAACA